rnacentral:rRNA from 1 species
GACAGAGGCCUCGAGCGUUAGGCGGAAUCACUGGGCUUAAAGCGUGUGUAGGCGGAUUCUUAAGUACCUUGUGAAAUCCCACGGCUCAACCGUGGAACUGCUCGGUAUACUGGGAGUCUUGAGCCAUCCAGGGGUUACCGGAACAAACGGUGGAGCGGUGAAAUGCGUAGAUAUCGUUUGGAACGCCAAUGGUGAAAACAGGUAACUGGGGAUGUGCUGACGGCUGAGACACGAAAGCCAGGGGAGCAAACGGG